rnacentral:rRNA from 1 species
UGAACUUAAGCAUAUCAAUAAGCGGAGGAAAAGAAACUAACAAGGAUUCCCCUAGUAACUGCGAGUGAAGCGGGAAAAGCUCAAAUUUAAAAUCUGGCGACCUUUGGCCGUCCGAGUUGUAAUCUAGAGAAGUGUUAUCCGCGCUGGACCGUGUACAAGUCUCCUGGAAUGGAGCGUCAUAGAGGGUGAGAAUCCCGUCUUUGACACGGACUGCCAGGGCUUUGUGAUGCGCUCUCAAAGAGUCGAGUUGUUUGGGAAUGCAGCUCAAAAUGGGUGGUAAAUUCCAUCUAAAGCUAAAUAUUGGCGAGAGACCGAUAGCGAACAAGUACCGUGAGGGAAAGAUGAAAAGAACUUUGGAAAGAGAGUUAAACAGUACGUGAAAUUGCUGAAAGGGAAACGCUUGAAGUCAGUCGCGUUGUUUGGGAAUCAACCUUGCUUUUGCUGGGYGUACUUUCCAGAUGAUGGGCCAGCAUCAAUUUUGACCGUUGGAUAAAGGUUGGAGGAAUGUGGCAUCUUCGGAUGUGUUAUAGCCUCCAGUUGCAUACAACGGUUGGGAUUGAGGAACUCAGCACGCCGCAAGGCCGGGUACUUGUACCACGUUCGUGCUUAGGAUGCUGGCAUAAUGGCUUUAAUCGACCCGUCUUGAAACACGGACCAAGGAGUCUAACAUGCCUGCGAGUGUUUGGGUGG